UACAGAGGGUGCAAGCGUUAAUCGGAUUUACUGGGCGUAAAGCGCGCGUAGGCGGCUAAUUAAGUCAAAUGUGAAAUCCCCGAGCUUAACUUGGGAAUUGCAUUCGAUACUGGUUAGCUAGAGUGUGGGAGAGGAUGGUAGAAUUCCAGGUGUAGCGGUGAAAUGCGUAGAGAUCUGGAGGAAUACCGAUGGCGAAGGCAGCCAUCUGGCCUAACACUGACGCUGAGGUGCGAAAGCAUGGGGAGCAAACAGGAUUAGAUACCCUGGUAGUCCAUGCCGUAAACGAUGUCUACUAGCCGUUGGGGCCUUUGAGGCUUUAGUGGCGCAGCUAACGCGAUAAGUAGACCGCCUGGGGAGUACGGUCGCAAGACUAAAACUCAAAUGAAUUGACGGGGGCCCGCACAAGCGGUGGAGCAUGUGGUUUAAUUCGAUGCAACGCGAAGAACCUUACCUGGCCUUGACAUAGUAAGAACUUUCCAGAGAUGGAUUGGUGCCUUCGGGAACUUACAUACAGGUGCUGCAUGGCUGUCGUCAGCUCGUGUCGUGAGAUGUUGGGUUAAGUCCCGCAACGAGCGCAACCCUUUUCCUUAUUUGCCAGCGAGUAAUGUCGGGAACUUUAAGGAUACUGCCAGUGACAAACUGGAGGAAGGCGGGGACGACGUCAAGUCAUCAUGGCCCUUACGGCCAGGGCUACACACGUGCUACAAUGGUCGGUACAAAGGGUUGCUACCUAGCGAUAGGAUGCUAAUCUCAAAAAGCCGAUCGUAGUCCGGAUUGGAGUCUGCAACUCGACUCCAUGAAGUCGGGAUCGCUAGUAAUCGCGGAUCAGAAUGCCGCGGUGAAUACGUUCCCGGGCCUUGUACACACCGCCCGUCACACCAUGGGAGUUUGUUGCACCAGAAGUAGCUAGCCUAACUGCAAAGAGGGCGGUUACCACGGUGUGCCGAUGACUGGGGUG
rnacentral:rRNA from 1 species